GGUCAAGACAAUCGGAUCUUAGCAAGUCUUUGAAGCUCGCAAUCCGUUCUCUUCUCACUACUUGCUCAAAACAAGAAUUCAGCAAAGCAUUCAAUAACUUUACUUCUUCUGAGCAAGACUCCCUCCACCGCCUAUUCAUCCAGGUGAUUACUUCUUUGCAUGAAAACAUUGAGGAUGAGUUUCAGUCUUUAUGCCUUGAAACUCAGGCGGGAAACACUCUUGAUACUGUGGAGCAACUUGUGGAAGAACAAGACCUGGAUCCAUUGUCUUCAGAUAAUGAGAGGACCUUGCGGAUAAUUGAAGCUGUACAGCCGUUUCCCUGGACAUGGUCAGAGCAGAGUACUUCAUGUACUUGACAGCUCUAGAUUUUAUGUUCACAUUCUGAUUUAGCUCAAGAUUUGGCUACUCCUGCCUCUAAAUUAGGAAAAAGUUUUCUGCUAUGAACAUGAUACAUUCUGCAAGGCCUUUUUCUAAGUUCACUCUGCUAUACAUAUAUUAGAUACGUAAUGACCAACUUACUCUUGAAGAAUGCCAUUAGUAGUAGACAGAGGCAUAUACAUGGGUGGUGUCAGAUCCCAGUAGACAUUAUGGUUUGAUACUUGUAACCAUUUUUCCUGGAUCAACUUUUCACUUUAAUCUACUACAUGUGAUUAAUUUUAAGAUUUAUCUUCCUUCAUCAAGAAAGAAACAGAGAAUAAAACAAAGAAGAACACAGUUGCAAUCUUUUCUGACAGUGUAGACCUACUAUUUAAUGAUAUUAAGGAAUAUUAUGUAUGAACUAAAAACAAAUAACCACUGAUGGAGAAAUGCUGACAGUGUAUGUUUCUAUACUCUCCUCAUCAUCCAUAACUCUGAUGCAGUCACUAUCGUGACUUCGUAACAAAAAAUUUGAAGGACUAUCCAACUACAUUUGUUUCAUGCUGGAACUGGUUUCAAUGGCCCUUGGAUUACUACUUGAUCGAUAUGCAGUUCAUUCUAUAUCUUGCAAUGGACUUUCUUAUUUCAAGUGUCCUGACUGACAUGCAGGACAAAUAUUAUGGAUGUUACAUGUGAUCUGUCAACAGCGAAGAAGAAUGAGAUCUAGAACUUGAUGCUUAUGCUGGAAAGGGUUAUUGGCAAAUUCCAUUCAGUGCAGGAUGCUUUGCAGAGGUUGUUGUGUUGUGGUUCUGGAACACGCUUGAGGGGAAAAGGACUUUGGCUGCAUGGGUUUGUUUCUUUGCACUAAGUUAAGGUGGAGUAAGCAAGUGCUUUCGUUGAGUGAUUAGGUGAAUAUGGAAUGAAGGAUACAUGAAGAGGUGUCUCUAAGAGGACAGGAGCCUCUACUUAAGAAAUGAGAAACAUUUGCUAUCCCAAU